rnacentral:rRNA from 1 species
CGCGGCCUAUCAGCUUGUUGGAGAGGUAACGGCUCACCAAGGCAUCGACGGGUAGCUGGUCUGAGAGGAUGAUCAGCCACACUGGGACUGAGACACGGCCCAGACUCCUACGGGAGGCAGCAGUAGGGAAUCUUGCACAAUGGGCGAAAGCCUGAUGCAGCAACGCCGCGUGCGGGAAGAAGGCCCUAGGGUUGUAAACCGCUUUCAGCAGGGAAGAAAAUGACGGUACCUGCAGAAGAAGGUGCGGCCAACUACGUGCCAGCAGCCGCGGUGACACGUAGGCACCAAGCGUUAUCCGGAUUUAUUGGGCGUAAAGAGCUCGUAGGCGGUUCGGUAAGUCGGGUGUGAAGACUCUGGGCUCAACCCAGAGAGGCCACCCGAUACUGCUGUGACUAGAGUGCGGUAGGGGAGCGGGGAAUUCAUGGUGUAGCGGUGAAAUGCGCAGAUAUCAUGAGGAACACCAGUGGCGAAGGCGCCGCUCUGGGCCGUAACUGACGCUGAGGAGCGAAAGCGUGGGUAGCAAACAGGAUUAGAUACCCUGGUAGUCCACGCCGUAAACGUUGGGCACUAGGUGUGGGGACCAUUCCACGGUUUCCGCGCCGCAGCUAACGCAUUAAGUGCCCCGCCUGGGGAGUACGG